GGCCUGUUAGCUCAGCUGGUUAGAGCGUCGUGCUAAUAACGCGAAGGUCGUGGGUUCGAUCCCCUCACGGGCCA
rnacentral:tRNA from 1 species